rnacentral:rRNA from 1 species
GUGUGUUAGUGGAACGGUCUGGAAAGUCCGACGGUACAGGGUGAUAGUCCCGUACACCAAAAUGCACAGGCUGUGAACUCGAAGAGUAGGGCGGGACACGUGGUAUCCUGUCUGAAUAUGGGGGGACCAUCCUCCAAGGCUAAAUACUCCUGACUGACCGAUAGUGAACCAGUACCGUGAGGGAAAGGCGAAAAGAACCCCGGCGAGGGGAGUGAAAAAGAACCUGAAACCGUGUACGUACAAGCAGUGGGAGCACCUUCGGGUGUGACUGCGUACCUUUUGUAUAAUGGGUCAGCGACUUAUAUUCUGUAGCAAGGUUAACCGUAUAGGGGAGCCGCAGGGAAACCGAGUCUUAACUGGGCGUUAAGUUGCAGGGUAUAGACCCGAAACCCGGUGAUCUAGCCAUGGGCAGGUUGAAGGUUGGGUAACACUAACUGGAGGACCGAACCGACUAAUGUUGAAAAAUUAGCGGAUGACUUGUGGCUGGGGGUGAAAGGCCAAUCAAACCGGGAGAUAGCUGGUUCUCCCCGAAAGCU